GGGGUCAGGAAACAUCAAAUCUCUAGAGGCCAAGGUGCAAUGCAUUCGAGAUUGGCCCCGCCCCGUGGGGAAAAAAGAUGUGCAGUCUUUCAUAGGACUGGUGAAUUAUUAUAGGAGGUUUGUCAAUCAUUUUGCCACCCUAGCUGCUCCUCUUACCAACCUUUGUAAGAAAUCCUUGCCAGUCAAAGUAGAUUGGACUGAAGAGUGUCAAAGGGCUUUUGAUCUGUUAAAACAUGCCCUUGUGAGUUCCCAAGUUAUGUUGGCCCCAGAUCAGAGACGUCCGUUUGUGGUGCAAACUGACGUCAGUCAGACUGGGCUGGGAGCAGUUCUGCUCCAAGAAGAUCCCGAGGGAAAUUGGCGUCCCGUGGUUUACUUGAGUAAGAAACUGAUAACCCGGGAGCAAAAUUAUUCAACCAUUGAGAAAGAGUGUUUUGCUUUGGUCUGGGCUCUGACCAAAUUGCGUCCUUACCUGUGGGGUAACACCUUUGAAGUCCAAACGGAUCACUCCCCACUUUGUUGGUUGGAGAGAGUAAAGACAUCCAACCAGAAAUUGCUUCGGUGGAGUCUGGCCUUACAGGAUCUCCAGUUUAAAGUCACACAUAUUGCUGGGAAGGACAAUGUGGUUGCUGAUACCCUGUCUAGAAUGUACCAGUCUGUUGAGUGAAGUAUUACUGUGUAUUUUGCCUGAAUCCUCAGUUGGAAAAACUAUUGGUGAUUAUUGUUCUGUAACUGUGUAAAUAUCAGACUGGGGGAUGCUGCUAAUGAUUUUGGGAGCUGCUGCCCCCCCAGACUGGUCUAACUACCUCAAUGUAUAUAUUUUGUUGGAUGAAAUUGCGGGACUUAACCCUGUAAUUUCAUCUUGGAGGGGAGGGUGUAGUAAAGCUAGUAUCAUUUAGAAGCUGUUCCUUGGUCAAGCAAUGAGAGUGAGGCCUUGUGGGUAAUCAACAAGCCGCAAGGACCAUGGGAAAUAAGUUCUGUCCCUUUAACCCCAGACUAACAGGCACCCAGGGUGUGAAAGUUUUAUUAUGGGAAAGGAAACCCCUGAUUUAAUGGAAGGCCUGACACCUGGGUCCAAGUUCUGCGCAUUCCGUUAGCGAUGUUAUCUGGCCUUAAUGGCCUGGGAAUGUGCAUCUGCAGAGGCGCUACGGAAGGGAGGAAAACCUUUGAUUUAGGCUCUGGGUUCUUAAUUGGCCCAGCUGCCAGAAGUUAGAUUGAUUAGCCCACAAGCCGGUCAUUGGAGAAUUUAAAAAUAAUCAAGAGUUAUGAUUGGUUUUGGGGGUUCCGACGCCACGUGUGAAUUAGGGAUAAAAGAUCUGGGAAAUGGCUGAGAAAGUGCGCUCUGCAAUCCGCAAAUCGCCCGGCUGCUGAUGUUCCAUCUAAGUAGCUGUCUUUACAUCCUUUGUGAUGGAGAACUGCGAAAGCCUUUGAACUGCGGAACCUUGAAAGGACUCUAUCUAUUUCUUUUGUGCUUUAGUUGUGAGUAUGCAAGCUAGCUAGAUUUCACAAUGUUUUUAUUUUUCUGGUCUGUAACUUACUAAAGAUGUGCCUGCUAUUUUAGCAUGUUUUCUUAUGUUCUUUUAAAAUAAAUUUUAAAUAAGAAACUGUUUUGGUUUGUGUGCCUUUCCGGGGGAAAAGCUAAGUCCUAGCCUUCCGCUUAGUUACGCUCUACCGUAGAAUUUCUGUCUGCAAGAUUGUGGAUUCAACUUGUGGAGUGGGGAUAACCAGUAACAACAGGGCACAACCUUCUCCCUGGGUUGUGACUCUAGGUUCCCCGGAACAGAGGGAGUGGUGGCAGCUCUACCGGUGUGAUUUUGUCCUGCUUCUGUAUAACGUAACUUUGCCUGCCAGCCCUGUUCAAGAAACCUGAUCUGGCCGGAGAGCAAAGACAGGUGAGGGAGGAGCGAGCGGCUGGGGGCAACUUUACUACACCA